CCUACGGGUGGCAGCAGUGGGGAAUAUUGGACAAUGGGCGAAAGCCUGAUCCAGCCAUGCCGCGUGUGUGAAGAAGGCCUUCGGGUUGUAAAGCACUUUCAGUGGGGAAGAAAGCCUUGGGGCUAAUACCCUCGAGGAAGGACAUCACCCACAGAAGAAGCACCGGCUAACUCCGUGCCAGCAGCCGCGGUAAUACGGAGGGUGCGAGCGUUAAUCGGAAUUACUGGGCGUAAAGCGCGCGUAGGCGGUCUGAUAAGCCGGUUGUGAAAGCCCCGGGCUCAACCUGGGAACGACAUCCGGAACUGUCAGGCUAGAGUGCAGGAGAGGAAGGUAGAAUUCCCGGUGUAGCGGUGAAAUGCGUAGAGAUCGGGAGGAAUACCAGUGGCGAAGGCGGCCUUCUGGACUGACACUGACGCUGAGGUGCGAAAGCGUGGGUAGCAAACAGGAUUAGAUACCCGGGUAGUC
rnacentral:rRNA from 1 species